GGCCUAUCCACAAGACAGAGACACAUGUUGAAUUUAAUAGUAUUGAUAAUCUUUCAUAGGAUGCUUUGAAACACCACCUCAAACUCCUUACCACUGAGAAGUCCAACCUUCACAGUCAACUUCUGGAUCUCCAUGCAAGGAUCCAGCAAGAAGGAAAGGCUUAUCAAAAAACAAAUGAAGACAGACGUGCAUAUAUAGCAGAGAUUGCAAAGGUGUCAUCAACUCUUGAUGUGAGCCGAAAGACACAGCUACAUCAACCACGAGGAAAUGGCAGGAUUCCAGUGAGAAGUGGCCAGGAAAAUAUGCUCAACAGGAAGUGUAACCCGAAAGGGAAGACAGGGGGUGCCACGGGAGCAUCAAACGGGAGCAGGUUACCCAAACUGAAGCGCUGACUCAUCAGAGACAUUGGAAAUCUCAAAUGCAUUGCUGUUACGGAUCAAUAAUGUUUGCCCCAUAUAUUCUGGCGAGCCUUAUCGACCUGCUACAAGCUAAAGGUUCAGUAUUAAUGUGAAAUAGAAUUGUCGUCAUUGAAAGUGCUCACGAAAAUAAUGUGUAAAAUAAGCUAAUGCUUUAGAGAUAGUGUGCUGUUUAAAAUUACUCCACUGACAGCCCACAUUUAUAUACACUGCAUUGAGUAGAAAAUUAUGUAGCAGGGUUUAGACAUUG
ensembl:lncRNA